rnacentral:rRNA from 1 species
GAUCAUGGCUCAGGAUGAACGCUGGCGGCGUGCCUAACACAUGCAAGUCGAACGAAGCUUGACGGAUGAUUUCUUCGGAAUGAAACCAGAUAUGACUUAGUGGCGGACGGGUGAGUAACACGUGAGCAACCUGCCUUUCAGAGGGGGAUAACGGCUGGAAACGGUCGCUAAUACCGCAUGACGUGUUCGGAUGGCAUCAUCUGAACAUCAAAGAUUAU